rnacentral:rRNA from 1 species
GAUGAACGCUGGCGGUAUGCUUAACACAUGCAAGUCGAACGGUCACUUCGGUGAUAGUGGCGGACGGGUGAGUAACGCGUGAGAAUCUGUCUUCAGGUCGGGGACAACAGUUGGAAAUGACUGCUAAUACCGGAUGUGCCUUUGGGUGAAAGAUUUAUUGCCUGAAAAAGAGCUCGCGUCAGAUUAGCUAGUAGGUGGUGUAAGAGACUACCUAGGCUCCGAUCUGUAGCUGGUCUGAGAGGACGAUCAGCCACACUGGAACUGAGACACGGUCCAGACUCCUACGGGAGGCAGCAGUGGGGAAUUUUCCGCAAUGGGCGAAAGCCUGACGGAGCAAUACCGCGUGAGGGACGAAGGCUUUUGGGUCGUAAACCUCUUUUCUCAAGGAAGAUGAUGACGGUACUUGAGGAAUAAGCAUCGGCUAACUCUGUG